UACGUAGGGUGCAGGCGUUAAUCGGAAUUACUGGGCGUAAAGCGUGCGCAGGCGGUCUAUUAAGACAGGUGUGAAAUCCCCGGGCUUAACCUGGGAACUGCGCUUGUUACUGAUAGGCUUGAGUGUGGCAGAGGAGACUGGAAUUCCUGGUGUAGCAGUGAAAUGCGUAGAUAUCAGGAGGAACACCGAUGGCGAAGGCAGGUCUCUGGGACUGACACUGCGCUCAUGCACGAAAGCGUGGGGAGCAACAGGAUAGAGUACCUUGA
rnacentral:rRNA from 1 species